UUGAGUCCCGAAUGAACAUAUAAUAAAAAAAUAUAUAAAUCAAAACGACAUCGUUUUAAUUUGUUAACAGUUGACUAACUUCUGUUAGAGUCAAUGUAUAUUUAGGUACAUUUUAAGAAGUUCAGGUAGUUUUUUCUAAUUAUAGUUGAGCUGAGUUCGUAAUUGGCACUGGAUAUUUGUUCUGGUCGUAUUUGGCACGACUGAAAUGGUUGAGGUCGAAAUUGGCUAUUUUCCCGCAUAACAAAACAACAUCGUUUUAUCUUAUUAACGGUUGACUAACUUCUAUUAGAGUCAAUGUAGAUUUAUGCACGUUUUUAAGAAGUUUGAGUAGUUUUUUGAAUAAUAACUGAGUUGAGGUUGUAUUUGGUACUGACUAUUUGUUUGGGUCGUAUUUGGCAGGACUGUAAUUGUUGGAGUCAAAAUUGACCAUUUUCCCAUUUUUUUACUAUUUAACUUAUCAACCAAGUUAAAAUCGUUAGAUGGAAACUUAGAGUUUAGAGUUCUAACGCAUAAACAUAUUAAUCGAGAUUUAAACAUUAAUAAAUUAUCCAGUUAUUUUUAUUAUUGUAAAGUUAUAUAAUAAAACAAAAUUUCUAAAUAUACAAGACACU
rnacentral:lncRNA from 1 species